rnacentral:rRNA from 1 species
UGUAAGCGUAUACCAAAGUUGUUGCAGUUAAAACGCUCGUAGUCGGAAUUUGGCAGUUCCGGAUGUGUGCACGUCGUGUGCGCACUUCGCGGGGAUUGCUUUUGUGGUCUUGCGUAGGAUGAGGCACUUUUAUUAGUGAACGUCCUCACGCAACCACUUUUUACUGUGAGAAAAUCAGAGUGCUCAAAGCAGGCAUUUGCCGUGAAUGUAUUAGCAUGGAAUAAUAGAAUAGGACUUGGUUCUAUUUUGUUGGUUUGUUGGGACUGAGUAAUGAUUAAGAGGGACAGUUGGGGGCAUUUGUAUUUCGGUGCUAGAGGUGAAAUUCUUAGAUUACCGAAAGACAAACUGCUGCGAAAGCGUCUGCCAAGGAUGUUUUCAAUGA